AGCGAACGCUGGCGGCAGGCCUAACACAUGCAAGUCGAACGCCCGGGCAACCGGGAGUGGCAGACGGGUGAGUAACACGUGGGAACGUACCCUUUGGUUCGGAACAACACAGGGAAACUUGUGCUAAUACCGGAUAAGCCCUUACGGGGAAAGAUUUAUCGCCGAAGGAUCGGCCCGCGUCUGAUUAGCUUGUUGGUGGGGUAACGGCCCACCAAGGCGACGAUCAGUAGCUGGUCUGAGAGGAUGAUCAGCCACACUGGGACUGAGACACGGCCCAGACUCCUACGGGAGGCAGCAGUGGGGGAAUAUUGGACAAUGGGCGCAAGCCUGAUCCAGCCAUGCCGCGUGGGUGAUGAAGGCCCUAGGGUUGUAAAGCCCUUUCGG
rnacentral:rRNA from 1 species